UCACCUAGCAAAACACGUCUGUAGCGAUCAGCACACAUUAAUACAUUUUGAGUUAGAAUUUUUUACGCCCACAAUGGCUGACGGAGGAGGAGAAAUUGACUUGGUCUCUGACAUUCUUAAAAAUCAAUUUUCAAGGCGGACUUUCUACAGAAAAGCUAGACAUCGUGAUGAGAGGUCGGCCAAACCCGAAGCUAGCUAGCUAGAUUGUCUCAGCGCGGCUGUACAGAUUGGCAUGUCUGACCGUGACUAUCCCUACAUCCACUGCAACUGUCGAGCGGACAUUCUCUGCCCCCAAGAGAAUAAAAACCUGUGCCAGGAAUACGACUGGACAGUGUCGACUCGCAGCCUUGGCUCCAUGGCUAUAGAAAAGGACUUACUGAUGGAACUGAAAGGCAGAGGUCAGGUCUAAUGACAGGAGGAGAAGGAGGAUAGAUUUUGUCUAUAAAUAAUUAGCAUCUCUGCUGGCACCGGCUGGCCGCUCUGUUUACAGUGGAGCCCUCAUCAGACACAGAUCCUCCAGAUUAGAUCAGCACUCUGACCCGCUCAGCCUCCAGCUAAUGGCCACAGCUGGCUGGAGAUCAGACUUGAAUGUAAAUCCAAUGGCUGCAGCUACAGAGCAUGAUAACGCCAGUGAGCAGCAGUGUACUAUGUGAAAGUUACACAAGGAGGUGACAGGUAGGUAUUUAAAGACCUGGAUUCAGACUGAAGCUGGCAGAGAAGAGCUGGCUAAGUCAGGGGUUUCUUCCUGCUGCCUUGGGAUUGAGUAAAGCAGGGCACAUAAAUUACCUUCAAGGAAGCUUCAUGUAGUAUAAGAGCUUCAACAGUGGCACCAAGUUAUCCUGU